GCAAUAAUCGUGCCUGGGAUAAACCUCAUUGGCUACGAUACUGCCACUUGAAGAAUUUUCCCAAUAC